rnacentral:tmRNA from 1 species
GGGGGUGACCUGUAUUGACGGUCUGCUCUUUGAGAAACGUGCGACGCGAUGGAAGCUUGUUGACCAUCUUAAUCUCACAAGCACCAAUACUUGCAAACAACACUGUUGCAAGCGCAAAGAAGUCUCCGUACUUUACGGCAAACGACUUUGCGUUCGCUUACGCGUAAGCUUGAGCUUCGGCUCGCUUUGCUCUAGCGACGUCUGCCAUGCCAGGGCUUCACAGCUAGCAUGAUCAGGCGGAAUUCUCUGUGAAGCCGGCAGCCGUACGCCCUUGCGGCCUGCCUAAACCUUAGGGCGUAGGUUGAAGCGGUUUCGCUGACGUUUCUACGCUUCAACCGAAUUUUCAACACCAGCUACGCGUCGUAGAUUCGUUCUCAAAGCCGGAUUCGGACGGGGCUUCACCGCCCCCACCUCCACCU